ensembl:lncRNA
UAUGCAAUUCCACACAUUUGCAAACCCAGCUUAGAGUCUGCUGAAGAAUAUGGGAAAAGGGCUUACCCCAGGCAGAUUGGUAUUUCAGCCUCUUCAACCAUGACGCUUUCAAACCACUCUCUCUCACACACACACACACACACACACACAGACACACACACACAUUUAUCCACUCCGAUCAUGUAUACUCUUUGUAUCAUAUACUGUAUGUCUAGUUUGACCAGAAAGGUAGUGCCUUGAAUCAUGCUUUAGGAAAGUGGAAAAACUCCCCACUUUAAAUAAUUGAUUAACUCCAUCAACACAUGGUCAAAUCUGAGAAGAUUGAAAUAAUCUCUGGUGUUCCCAUCAAGGAUAUAUCAGCAUUCUUAUUUUCCCCGACAUCUUGAAUAGAAUGCUAAUCCUAAAUGAGGUAUCGGCCUUAGGAGAGUUACCAGUCGGCACUGAUUUUGCAUAGUAACACACCAGGUUACACAGUCACCUGUUAGUCAUUCCAGAGGCCUUCCAUGAGUAACACACCAGGUUACACAAUCACCUGUUUCCAUUCCAUUCCAAUUCAGUCAUUUUACAGUCUCUCUCCUAGCAUUAAUUCAACCCCUGAAAACUCAUCUCUGUUCCUCAAACUUUCAUAUUUAUAAGUUUGUUUUCAUGAAAAAAAUCCCCUCAUGGCAUUAAAGCGAUUUGGAAGGAAGUCUCCAUUUUGCUCCGUUUAGUAUUCGCAGAGCUCUGAAUGUGCAAACGAGCUACACCUGGCUUCCCCUCGGAUAGGUCUCAUUUUGAUUUAGCAUUAUGCUAACGUUAUGUAAAUCGUCGCCCCGUAAGUUGAUGGGACUUGGGUCCUUAGGUACAGUAUGUGACGUAUAAAACCCAGGCUGUCUGAUUCCUUGUUUUUGAGGCUGUCAUUGGUACACUGCAGUUCCAAGGUGGAUUACCAGUAUGUCGCUCACGCCAUGUGCUGUAUCAUAUAAAAAACACCAUAUGGACAAGGUUGAUUUGAUUUUCACUGAAGGGGGUCUUUAAGCAAUACUAAAACAAGUACAGAAAAUAUAAAUGAUCUACUUAACUGGCUGUUUUGGUCCCCUGUGCUCAGUGGUCAAAAUGCAUUUUCAUAAUUUACAUAUAUGUAUUGGUCGGGCAUUAUGAAAUGGCUGCUCAUUUCUGUUCAUUUCUGUCAACCCCUCCGCAGCAGUCCUCCCUGUCAGGUGUUACUCUCUCUCCCUUCCCCAUCUCUCCCUUUCUCUGUUACUCUCUCUCCCUUCCCCGUCUCUCCCUUUCUCUGUUACUCUCUCUCCCUUCCCCGUCUCUCCCUUUCUCUGUUACUCUCUCUCCCUUCCCCGUCUCUCCCUUUCUCUGUUACUCUCUCUCCCUUCCCCAUCUCUCCCUGUCAGGUGUUACUCUCUCUCCCUUCCCCAUCUCUCACCUUCCUCACUUCCCCUCUCUGUCUAUCUCUCGCCUUCCCGCCCUCCAUCUCUCUCUCUCUCUCUCUGUCCGUCUCUCCUCAAGGCAUCCUCUGGAGACCUCUGUGCAUCUUAGCUCACACUCCUUCAGCAUACCAACCCUGGUCUCCAGUGCCACGCCAGCCGAGCCCUAUCUGUCAUUCCACAGUGUGCUCUCCUGCUGGGCCAGGGUAAAUGCCAAGCGUGGCGCAGCCGAGACGCAGGCAGCCGAGACACAGG